rnacentral:rRNA from 1 species
GCCCACAGUUGCCAGCGUACUCUCUGGAGUGACGGGUACACUGUGGGACCGCCGCUGCUAAAGCGGAGGAAGGAAUGGGCAACGGUAGGUCAGUAUGCCCCGAAUAUCCCGGGCUACACGCGAGCUACAAUGGUUGGUACAAUGGGUAUCUACCCCGAAAGGGGACGGGAAUCUCCUAAAACCAAUCUUAGUUCGGAUUGAGGGCUGCAACUCGCCCUCAUGAAGCUGGAAUCCGUAGUAAUCGCGUUUCAACAGAACGCGGUGAAUACGUCCUGCGUCCUU